rnacentral:tmRNA from 1 species
GGGGAUGAUCGGCCUAGACAAUUGGAAAACCAUUUGAAAUCGCAAAGUAGCGCUGCGGAAACGCUUUAAAAGUCCGCAACACGAUAACUGCCAAAUCAGUUGUUGCAAAAGCAAAAUCAAUCGCUUCUCCGUAUUUCGGAGGAGCGGAAUUUGCUCCCGCUUACGCUUUAGCCUAAGCGGCAUCGCUUCAGGUAAGGCUUCAUAGCCCGAAAGCGGUGUAAUCAAUGAAGCUUAAAGACGCUUACCGCUUCGUCUGCGUCUUGAAAUAAAAGGAGCUAAGGUUUUGGCGUAUUUUGUCCGUUUAAAGCGCCGAGACCUAAAAAUCAAAACGAACUAGACCUUGUAGACGUUUCAAUGGAUUCUUUUUGCACGGCGGUUCGAUUCCGCCCAUCUCCACAU